rnacentral:tRNA from 1 species
GCGGGUGUAGCUCAAUGGUAGAGCGCCAGCCUUCCAAGCUGGAUACGAGGGUUCGAUUCCCUUCACCCGCU